CAAUAGCGUAUAUUAAAGUUGUUGCAGUUAAAAGCUCGUAGUUGGAUCUCGGGUCCAGGCUUGCGGUUCUGCUCGUGCAGACACUGCUCGUCCUGACCUACCUGCCGGUUUUCCCUUGGUGCCCUUGAUUGGGUGUCUCGGGUGGCCGGAACGUUUACUUUGAAAAAUUAGAGUGUUUCUAGCAGGCAGCUCGCUCUUGCAUAGGUUAGCAUGGGAUAAUUUAAUAGGACUCUGGUGCUAUUUUGUUGGUUUCGAACACCGGAGUAAUGAUUAAAAGGGGCAGUCAGGGGCACUCGUAUUCCGUCGAGAGAGGUGAAAUUCUCAGACCAAUGGAAGACGAACCACUGCGAAAGCAUUUGCCAGGGAUGUUUUCACUGAUCAAGAACGAAAGUUAGGGGAUCGAAGAUGAUUAGAUACC
rnacentral:rRNA from 1 species